rnacentral:rRNA from 1 species
CCUACGGGUGGCAGCAGUGAGGAAUAUUGGUCAAUGGGCGUAAGCCUGAACCAGCCAAGUCGCGUGAGGGAUGAAGGUUCUAUGGAUCGUAAACCUCUUUUAUAAGGGAAUAAAGUGUGGGACGUGUCCUAUUUUGUAUGUACCUUAUGAAUAAGGAUCGGCUAACUCCGUGCCAGCAGCCGCGGUAAUACGGAGGAUCCGAGCGUUAUCCGGAUUUAUUGGGUUUAAAGGGUGCGUAGGCGGGCUGUUAAGUCAGCGGUGAAAGUUUGUGGCUAAACCAUAGAAUUGCAGUUGAAACUGGGGGGCUUGAGUAUGUUUGAGGCAGGCGGAAUGUGUGGUGUAGCGGUGAAAUGCUUAGAUAUCACGCAGAACCCCGAUUGCGAAGGCAGCCUGCCAAGCCACGACUGACGCUGAUGCACGAAAGCGUGGGGAUCAAACAGGAUUAGAUACCCUUGUAGUC